rnacentral:rRNA from 1 species
UACGUAGGGGGCAAGCGUUGUCCGGAAUCAUUGGGCGUAAAGAGCGUGUAGGCGGCCAGAUAAGUCCGCUGUGAAAUCUCGAGGCUCAACUUCGAGCUGUCGGUGGAAACUGUCUGGCUAGAGUCCGGAAGAGGAGAAUGGAAUUCCUGGUGUAGCGGUGAAAUGCGCAGAUAUCAGGAAGAACACCCGUGGCGAAGGCGGUUCUCUGGGACGGUACUGACGCUGAGACGCGAAAGCGUGGGGAGCAAACAGG